UCAUUUAUUUUCUUUUUUAAAAAUCAUAGCAAAUUAAGGACUUGGUGACAACUAAAUCUGUUUCAUUAUCGUGUUUGAGAUUCCAGAGGUGACUUCCCAGACCGCAUCUCAAAACCUACAGUCAGGAGCUAAUUUUACAGAUGCUUUCAUGAAUAGCAGCGAGGAUGUUCUUACCAGCAGCAUGCCCUUAAUUCCAGCACCGUAAAAAUGCCUCGAUUUAAAUGGAAACUCGCUGCCUUAAAAAUAAUAUUUCAUCCUGGCUGGAUAAUUAUUAAUAUUAGCAUUUGAUCGCAAUAGCGCUGGCUCCCCCUCGUUCCUGUACCCCCCCACCCCACAGCGCUUCGCAUUGUCAUGUGAUUGGAGGGAGAUAACAAACCUCAAGAAAGAAAAGGAGUGAGAAGACAUUUUUAACACGGCAUGACCGCAGAUUAAUAAUGCAGGGUAUGAAUUUGGUACUUCUAGCUCUUUGGAAGCUCCAUACUCAAUGGAAUAUGUAUAGAUACCCCAGGUAAAGCUACAGCUACCCCAAGGAUGUCACGGGGUACACCUGCCACCCUGACCCACCUGUGUGUUCCUAUACACUAAGAAGAAGCCAGGAACAAGAAAUUACACUUUAGUUAUCUCCAAAGAGGGUCCUAAAUGUGUAAGAUAAAGAGAACAGAAAUAAAUAUCUUUGCUAACA